rnacentral:lncRNA from 1 species
UCUUUGUCUUAUGUCAUGUCUCAUAUCAUGUCUUUAUGUCUCAUAUCAUGUCUUUGUCUUAUAUCUUAUACCAUGUCUUGUGUCUUUUUGUCUUCUCAGCAGUCAGAAUACUGAUCCUGGACUGAUGCUGACUCCAGUCCAGGACAAUCUAAAUGCUGCUGAUCUCAAGGAUACAAACAUCUAUGUGACCCUCCAAAGGAUCAGACCAGCUGCACAGCCUCCCAAGAAAGAGGAUGACAUAUAUGUCACCAUGCGCUUUAAUCAGGACGGUCUACAGCUUCCUGUUCAGUUCCCACGCAAAAGGAGCGACCUGCCCACGGACUGGAUGACUGAAGAGACAGCAGCAUCUUCUGUUGAGGAGACGACUGAGGAGACAGCAGUAUCUACUGUUGAGGAGACGACUGAGGAGACAGCAGCAUCUACUGUUGAGGAGAUGACGGAAGAGACAGCAGCAUCACCUGUUGAGGACAUGACUGAAGAGACAGCAGCAUCAUAUAUUGAGGAGAUGGCUGCUUCACCUCCGGCCUCUCCACUACCCCAAACAGAUGAGGUCAUUUAUGAACGAAUGCACUGAAUAGCUUUGGCACUUUGUUGUCUAGAAAUUCCCCAAAUGGCUGGUUCUCAUUUGAAGGAAUGGUGAUGAGACCUGUUGAGACAUGUUGGGCAUUUUUAUUGUGCACAAGCAGUAAUGUGUUUGCCUUGGCAAAAACUCAAAAACAUUGAAAGACUGGUAAAGACUUUAUCAUUAUUUCAUGGCAAAGCCUCGCUAAGUCUAGAAUAUCACUCUAUAAUAUUCUCUUCAAACCAUUACAUACUGUUUGUCCUUAAAUGACAAAAAAAAA